rnacentral:lncRNA from 1 species
UGAAUAACCAGGCAGCACCGCCUCUGCUUUCUCCCUUUUCCGCUUUCUACUGAAGGUCUGAGACAUGCCAAAUUCUCAUGUUCACAGCUCCCUGCCAGAUAAUUCUGAGUUCCUUUGCCUAAUUACUGGAAUGAAAAGAACAUUGAAAUCACUUGCUCUAAUCUCUUCUUAAGGCAGAAAUCAGAAAGAAUACGAGGUAAACUAGGAAAGUUGAAAAAUAAAAAAGCUAAGAGGUAAAACUGAAGACAAAAAGCAGCAAAAUUUUUUUUGAGUUGAAGUGUCAUGCGGCCUUGCUGUAGACCUGCGUGCCAACGGUGACAGAGAAGGAAAUAGUGACUGGGUUGCCCAAGAGGUGAUUUACUUUGAAGAGCAUCUGGUUAGGAGGAACUCAUCUCAGUGAGGGAUAAAAGUUGUUUCUAACUGACUGAAAGCAAAUCAUUCAGGAUUUUCUGGUACAAAACAAUAUGAAUUUAUUAGCAGAUCGAUGGUAAGUUUGAAAACACAUGAGGACCCUGAUACAAAGUCCUGAUAAGACCAAAGAAGCUAAAGCCAAAGAAAUCAUUGCCAUCCCUGCAUAUUUGAGCCAUGCUCAUUCCAUGUCAUGAAAACACAUUGUGAGAGAAAUUACAUAUCCACAGUGAAGUCUCUUCUUUAUAAAAAGCAUAUUUUUCUUAUUUUAACAUGAGAGAUGUUUGAGAGAUGCCAGAAGAAUGUUGCAAACACUGUGAGCAACUAAGAAAACUAUGAAAAAAAUUGUUAAGAAAAUAUUAAAGGGCAAUAUCAGAAUAUCAUGGGGUGUUGCUACAUAGACCAGUGGUUUUAAAUCAGGCUGCAUAUUAGAAUUACUUAAGGGCUUUAAAAAUCAAAACAACCAGACACAAACCCCAAAUUUGAAUCAGAGUACUUGAGAUAAGACCUUUGCCUUUUUUAUCAUUUAUUAAUAUUGUUAUUAUUAUUAUUAUUAUUAAAACACCCCAGGGAUUUCUAAUGUGCAGUAAGGUUUGGGAAACACUGACUUGGACCAACAGGCAGAUUAAAAAUUUUAAAAUGCUGCAUUUGGUCCAGAAAAAUAUUUUCCUCCAUUUAUCAUUCUCUCAUCUUUCCUAAAUAAUAGGUUCCCUGUAGAUCAAAUGUCAUGAAUUGCUACCUUUUCUCUUUGCCAAGAAUUCCAGAAGUUCAG